rnacentral:rRNA from 1 species
AAUGAACGUUGGCGGCAUGGAUUAGGCAUGCAAGUCGAGCGAGAAGGGUUUUUUGCUUGCAUUAAACCUGGACAGCGGCGCAAGGGUGAGUAACGCGUAGUUACCUGCCCCCGGGUCCGGAAUAGCCACGGGAAACUGUGGGUAAUACCGGAUAACAUCUCAGGAUCAAAGGUGUGAUUCCGCCCGGGGAGGGGACUGCGUCCUACUAGCUUGUUGGUGGGGUAACGGCCUACCAAGGCUUCGAUGGGUAGCGGGCGUGAGAGCGUGGCCCGUCACACUGGGACUGAGACACUGCCCAGACACCUACGGGUGGCUGCAGUCGAGAAUCUUCGGCAAUGGGCGAAAGCCUGACCGAGCAAUGCCGCGUGCGGGAUGAAGGCCCUCGGGUUGUAAACCGCGAAAGUGAGGAGGAAGGGCCCGUGAAGAGCGGGUCUUGACCGAUCCACAGUAAGGACGGGCUAAGUUCGUGCCAGCCGCCGCCGUAACAC